ACCUGGCUGGCUCAGUCAGUAGAGCGUGAGACUCUUGAUUUCACGGUCGUGAUUCGAGCCUCACGUCAGGGU
rnacentral:tRNA from 1 species